rnacentral:rRNA from 1 species
ACGGACGAAAUCAGUGAUCCUAUGCUGCCGAGAAAAGCAUCGACGCGAGGUUCCAAUCGCCCGUACCCCAAACCGACUCAGGUGGUCAGGUAGAGAAUACUAAGGAGAUCGAGAGAAUCGUGGUUAAGGAACUCGGCAAAAUGCCCCCGUAACUUCGGGAGAAGGGGGGCCUGAGGCGUGUAGGGAUUUACUCCUGAAGCGUUUGAAGGCCGCAGAGACCAGUGGGAAGCGACUGUUUACUAAAAACACAGGUCCGUGCUAAGUCGCAAGACGAUGUAUACGGACUGACGCCUGCCCGGUGCUGGAAGGUUAAGAGGAACGGUUAGCACGCAAGUGCGAAGCUGAGAAUUUAAGCCCCAGUAAACGGCGGUGGUAACUAUAACCAUCCUAAGGUAGCGAAAUUCCUUGUCGGGUAAGUUCCGACCUGCACGAAUGGCGUAACGACUUCCCAGCUGUCUCAACCGCGAACUCGGCGAAAUUGCACUACGAGUAAAGAUGCUCGUUACGCGCAGCAGGACGGAAAGACCCCGUGACCUUUACUACAGCUUGGUAUUGGUGUUCGGUGUGGCUUGUGUAGGAUAGGUGGGAGACUGUGAAGCUCGGACGCUAGUUCGGGUGGAGUCAUUGUUGAAAUACCACUCUGGUCACUCUGGAUAUCUAACUUCGAACCGUAAUCCGGUUCAGGGACAGUGCCUGGUGGGUAGUUUAACUGGGGCGGUUGCCUCCUAAAGAGUAACGGAGGCGCCCAAAGGUUCCCUCAACCUGGUUGGUAAUCAGGUGUCGAGUGUAAGUGCACAAGGGAGCUUGACUGUGAGACUGACAAGUCGAGCAGGGACGAAAGUCGGGACUAGUGAUCCGGCAGUGGCUUGUGGAAGCGCUGUCGCUCAACGGAUAAAAGGUACCUCGGGGAUAACAGGCUGAUCUUGCCCAAGAGUCCAUAUCGACGGCAUGGUUUGGCACCUCGAUGUCGGCUCGUCGCAUCCUGGGGCUGGAGUAGGUCCCAAGGGUUGGGCUGUUCGCCCAUUAAAGCGGUACGCGAGCUGGGUUUAGAACGUCGUGAGACAGUUCGGUCCCUAUCCGCUGCGCGCGUAGGAAAUUUGAGAAGAUCUAUCCCUAGUACGAGAGGACCGGGAUGGACGAACCUCUGGUGUGUCAGUUGUUCCGCCAGGAGCACCGCUGAUUAGCUACGUUCGGAACGGAUAACCGCUGAAAGCAUCUAAGCGGGAAGCCGGCUUCGAGAUGAGAUUUCCAUCCCUUUU